rnacentral:rRNA from 1 species
GCUUGUCUCAAAGAUUAAGCCAUGCAUGUCUAAGUAUAAACUGCUUAUACUGUGAAACUGCGAAUGGCUCAUUAAAUCAGUUAUAGUUUAUUUGAUGGUACCUCUACUCGGAUAACCGUAGUAAUUCUAGAGCUAAUACGUGCGUAAAUCCCGACUUCUGGAAGGGACGUAUUUAUUAGAUAAAAAUCAACUUUGUUGGUGAAUCAUAAUAACUUCUCGGACCGCAUGGCCUCGUGCUGGCGGUGCUUCAUUCAAAUAUCUGCCCUAUCAACUGUCGAUGGUAGGAUAGAGGCCUACCAUGGUUGCAACGGGUAACGGGGAAUAAGGGUUCGAUUCCGGAGAGGGAGCCUGAGAAACGGCUACCACAUCCAAGGAAGGCAGCAGG